rnacentral:tRNA from 1 species
CCUGCUGCUCGGCGAGCGGACUGCGCGCUCGCUGGGGAUGAGCGUCGAGCGCGUUCGCUUCGCGCUCUCGGGGGUCGCGGUGCUGGCAGCAGGA